rnacentral:rRNA from 1 species
GAUGAACGCUGGCGAGAUGCCUUACACAUGCAAGUCGAACGGUCACUUCGGUGAUAGUGGCGGACGGGUGAGUAACGCGUGAGAAUCUGUCUUCAGGUCGGGGACAACAGUUAGAAAUGACUGCUAAUACCGGAUAUGCCUUAUGGUGAAAGAUUUAUUGCCUGAAAAAGAGCUCGCGUCAGAUUAGCUAGUAGGUGGUGUAAGAGACUACCUAGGCGACGAUCUGUAGCUGGUCUGAGAGGACGAUCAGCCACACUGGAACUGAGACACGGUCCAGACUCCUACGGGGGGCAGCAGUGGGGAAUUUUCCGCAAUGGGCGAAAGCCUGACGGAGCAAUACCGCGUGAGGGACGAAGGCUUUUUGGGUCGUAAACCUCUUUUCUCAAGGAAGAUAAUGACGGUACUUGAGGAAUAAGCAUCGGCUAACUCUGUGCCAGCAGCCGCGGUAAU